rnacentral:rRNA from 1 species
AUUGAACGCUGGCGGCAGGCCUAACACAUGCAAGUCGAGCGGUAGCACAGGAGAGCUUGCUCUCUGGGUGACGAGCGGCGGACGGGUGAGUAAUGUCUGGGAAACUGCCUGAUGGAGGGGGAUAACUACUGGAAACGGUAGCUAAUACCGCAUAACGUCGCAAGACCAAAGAGGGGGACCUUCGGGCCUCUUGCCAUCAGAUGUGCCCAGAUGGGAUUAGCUAGUAGGUGGGGUAACGGCUCACCUAGGCGACGAUCCCUAGCUGGUCUGAGAGGAUGACCAGCCACACUGGAACUGAGACACGGUCCAGACUCCUACGGGAGGCAGCAGUGGGGAAUAUUGCACAAUGGGCGCAAGCCUGAUGCAGCCAUGCCGCGUGUAUGAAGAAGGCCUUCGGGUUGUAAAGUACUUUCAGCGGGGAGGAAGGUGCUGAGGUUAAUAACCUCAGCAAUUGACGUUACCCGCAGAAGAAGCACCGGCUAACUCCGUGCCAGCCGCCGCCGUAACAC